rnacentral:rRNA from 1 species
GUGGGGAAUAUUGGACAAUGGGCGAAAGCCUGAUCCAGCCAUGCCGCGUGUGUGAAGAAGGUCUUCGGAUUGUAAAGCACUUUAAGUUGGGAGGAAGGGCAGUAAGUUAAUACCUUGCUGUUUUGACGUUACCGACAGAAUAAGCACCGGCUAACUUCGUGCCAGCAGCCGCGGUAAUACGAAGGGUGCAAGCGUUAAUCGGAAUUACUGGGCGUAAAGCGCGCGUAGGUGGUUUUGUAAGUUGGAGGUGAAAUCCCCGGGCUCAACCUGGGAACUGCCUCCAAAACUGCAUGACUAGAGUACGGUAGAGGGUAGUGGAAUUUCCUGUGUAGCGGUGAAAUGCGUAGAUAUAGGAAGGAACACCAGUGGCGAAGGCGAGACUCUGGACAAUUACUGACGCUGAGAGACGAAGGCCAGGGGAGCGAAAAGGAUUAGAUACCCGGGUAGUCC